CAAAAGCCAGGGGGCCAUACUUGAUGCUAAACCAAGACCAUUGCUUGAAGCACAAGUGACGAGUCCCUUAAGAGUCAUCAAUUUGGUGGGCAUCAACAGAAGGCUUAUAUACAGACCAGAUCUCAGCUAAGAUCCGUGUGACUGCGAUUUGGAAAGAAUACCUGGUGGGACCCAAUUUAACUCUGGUCGGUUCGAUGGACCCUCAACGGUUUGAUCAUGUAAUCUAACAACAGCUGUUAAUGGUGAAGACCUUUCGGCGCAGGCAAUGGAGCUGAUCCCAAGAGGAGAAGGCUUGGGUGUUUAGAAAA